GUGCCUAAUACAUGCAAGUCGAGCGAACAGAUAAGGAGCUUGCUCCUUUGACGUUAGCGGCGGACGGGUGAGUAACACGUGGGUAACCUACCUAUAAGACUGGGAUAACUUCGGGAAACCGGAGCUAAUACCGGAUAACAUUUGGAACCGCAUGGUUCUAAAGUGAAAGAUGGUUUUGCUAUCACUUAUAGAUGGACCCGCGCCGUAUUAGCUAGUUGGUAAGGUAACGGCUUACCAAGGCGACGAUACGUAGCCGACCUGAGAGGGUGAUCGGCCACACUGGAACUGAGACACGGUCCAGACUCCUACGGGAGGCAGCAGUAGGGAAUCUUCCGCAAUGGGCGAAAGCCUGACGGAGCAACGCCGCGUGAGUGAUGAAGGGUUUCGGCUCGUAAAACUCUGUUAUUAGGGAAGAACAAACGUGUAAGUAACUGUGCAUGUCUUGACGGUACCUAAUCAGAAAGCCACGGCUAACUACGUGCCAGCAGCCGCGGUAAUACGUAGGUGGCAAGCGUUAUCCGGAAUUAUUGGGCGUAAAGCGCGCGUAGGCGGUUUCUUAAGUCUGAUGUGAAAGCCCACGGCUCAACCGUGGAGGGUCAUUGGAAACUGGGAAACUUGAGUGCAGAAGAGGAAAGUGGAAUUCCAUGUGUAGCGGUGAAAUGCGCAGAGAUAUGGAGGAACACCAGUGGCGAAGGCGACUUUCUGGUCUGUAACUGACGCUGAUGUGCGAAAGCGUGGGGAUCAAACAGGAUUAGAUACCCUGGUAGUCCACGCCGUAAACGAUGAGUGCUAAGUGUUAGGGGGUUUCCGCCCCUUAGUGCUGCAGCUAACGCAUUAAGCACUCCGCCUGGGGAGUACGACCGCAAGGUUGAAACUCAAAGGAAUUGA
rnacentral:rRNA from 1 species